rnacentral:rRNA from 1 species
UACGAAGGGGGCUAGCGUUGUUCGGAAUCACUGGGCGUAAAGCGCACGCAGGCGGAUCGUUAAGUCGGGGGUGAAAUCCCGAGGCUCAACCUCGGAACUGCCUUCGAUACUGGCGAUCUUUGAGUCCGGGAGAGGUGAGUGGAACUCCGAGUGUAGAGGUGAAAUUCGUAGAUAUUCGGAAGAACACCAGUGGCGAAGGCGGCUCACUGGCCCGGUACUGACGCUCAGGUGCGAAAGCGUGGGGA